CUUCUCCUUGGCUCUGGUGCAAAAAGAAAUCCCCAAAAGCAAGAAGGUCAACAAUUCUCAAAUCAAGCCUUGAGAGCUGAUAUGUGGUGGGUGCCAUACAAACAGAUCUCAGUGAUACAGAUAUAAUCCUGUCUAGGAGUACCAGCUCUAGAAGCCAAGCCAUGCCUAAAAUCAAACUGAGCCAUAGCAGCAGCAGAGCAAACAUCAAGUUUCUCACAUCAUCCGAACAUCCUUUGGCAGCAACAGUUGGCCCAAGCCUUGGAGCAGCAGCUGGUAAGUCCAGAGGCAGAACUGUGAUGCCUGUGGCAUCAGAUGUACUGGAAACCCUUCUAA
rnacentral:lncRNA from 1 species